rnacentral:lncRNA from 1 species
CUUGACUAAAGAUGACCGCAUGGAAAUUAGAGUUUAUAAUGUCAGACAGACUGCCAGAUCCUGACAAUGACCCGAAGAUUACAGGCACCUCAGUUCCUGCACCUGGACCAAUGAGCAGAUGCUCAGAUAUGAAACCUGCCGCCUGCCAGAACCUGGCCGAGACUGUGGACAAAGCUGCUGGACGCUGGAAAAUUGAUUGUACCCCUUUGCCUAGACAAAACAAGGUCAGUCUUUUCCAUGUCCCUCUUCCACAGAGAGAAAAUAAAACCUCUCACAGAUAGGCCUGGCGAAGAUUGUUGUUCUUUGAGACAGCUGCCUCCAACGGUAAUGGAGAAACUUGGGUUUGGCUAACUGUAUAUGGACUUGCUUCUG